AGAGAGUUGGCGGAGUGGUCGAUCGCGGCGGUCUUGAAAACCGUUGUACCGCAAGGUACCGGGGGUUCGAAUCCCUCACUCUCUGCAA
rnacentral:tRNA from 1 species